CCAUGCAGUCGAACGGAGUAGCAUACUUAGUGGCAGACGGGUGAGUACAUGUGGUAUCUGCCCUUUGGCCCGGAAUAACACGAGGAAACUUGUGCUAAUACCGGAUAAGUCUUUACGGAGAAAGCUUUAUGCACCAUUGGAUGAGCUUGCACUUGAUUAGUUUGUUGGUGGGGUAAUGGCCUACCAAGACUGUGAUCAAUAGCUGAUUUGAGAGGAUGAUCAGCCACAUUGGGACUGAGACACGGCCCAAACUCCUACGGGAGGCAGCAGUGGGGAAUCUUGCACAAUGGAGGAAACUCUGAUGCAGCGAUGCCGCGUGAGUGAAGAAGGCCUUUGGGUUGUCAAGCUCUUUCGUCGGGGAAGAAAAUGACUGUACCCGACUAAGAAGGUCCGGCUAACUUCCGUGCCCGCAGCCGCGGUAAUACGAAGGGACCUAGCGUAGUUCGGAAAUUACUUGGGGCGUUAAGAGUUCGUACGUGGUUGAAAAAGUUGGUGGUGAAAUCCCAGAGCUUAACUCUUGGAACUGCCAUCAACACUUUUCAGCUCACAGUAUGAUCAGAGGAAAGCCGCAGAUCUAAUGUAGAGGUGAAAUCCCCACUUUAGAAGACUACCACUGCGAAAGGAGGUUCCUGACCAUACUGACACUGAGAACCAAGCAUGGGUUCCGAGAGGACUAAAACCCUCGUAAUCAUGCCGUAACG
rnacentral:rRNA from 1 species